GUUCAAGUAGUUUAUUAAAAAAUUAUGAUUUGUGGAUUUAUAGAAGCUUUAAAGGUCUUGAAUA
rnacentral:tRNA from 1 species